UGGAGAGGAAGUGAAAGUAACUUGCAAGCUAAUGUUACAGCUGCCAGAAACAAACACAGAGCAGACGAAGCCAACAAGCUAGCUAACUUGUUUACCAAUAAACUGUCCUUGUAGCAGGGAAAACAGAAGCAAGAAUCAUUCUUGGUUCUUGGAUCUGAAUCAAGUCGACCCCAAAAGAAAAAAAGAAGCAAGCAAAAGACUGCCCAUGACCAAUCCAUAAACCGGAUAAACAUUGGAAUUAAUUUUGAAAGGUGGAAGAGUGAAUCCAAAAUGGUCAUCGUUCUCAUGGACUUGUAGGGAGAUACUGGUGGAGACAGUCUGAUUUCGAGGGAACCUGAGGUAGAAAAAUCAACACCAAAAGAGAGACCAGGCUCCCAGAACGUGAAGGCAGACGCAUUGGAUAGACAGACAGCGAACGCCAGCACUUUCGCACAGCCAUUGAAGAGGAGUGGGACAACAUUUCACAGGCCACAAUCAACAGCCUGAUCAACUCUACAGUAUGCGAAGGAGAUGUGUCACACUGCAUGAGGCAAAUGAUGGUCACACCAGAUAAUGACUGGUUUUCUGAUCCACGGCCAUACCUUUUUUUUAAGGUAUCUGUGACCAACAGUCAUGUGAAAUGCAUAGAUUAGGGCCUGAUUAAUUUAUUUCAAUUUACAAAUUUCCUUAGUUGAACUGUAACUCAAACAAGUGUCUCCUCCUCCAGGUAGACCCAUUGUAGCAGCGAUCGAAUCUGAUAUCCAACAUUUCUAAGUUUGUGGAUUACCACAUUAAACCGAUGGUUGCGAAUCUCCCAUCUUAUGUCAAAGACACCAGUCACAUUGAUAAAGGGCUUAGGAAGGAUACCAGAGGGCACCCUGCUGGCCACUUUUGAUGUGGAGAGCUUGUUCACUAACAUCCCACACACUGGAGGCUUGCAGGCUCUGCUACACUUCCUUCAGCAGAGAGACUAUACCCUUGCUCCAUCCAAUGAUUGCAUCUUACAACUUACUGAACUGGUAUUAUCCAAUAACUACUUCAUCUUUGAGUCAGACUUUUUCAUUCGAAUUCGGGGUGCCAUGGGCUCCCCCUUUCCCCCCAACUAUGCAAACCUGUAUGUGGGACAAUUUGAGGAAGCACUCCUUUACAAAACAGAGACACACGUCCUACUUUCUAAAAUUCUCCUAUGGAAGAGAUACAAAAACUCAGCAAAAAAAGAAACGUCCUCUCACUGUCAACAGCGUUUAUUUUCAGGAAACUUAAAUAAAUGUAAAUAUUUCUAUGAACAUAACAAGAAUCAACAACUGAGACAUAAACUGAACAAGUUCCACAUACAUGUGACAAAAAGAAAUGGAGUAAUGUGUCCCUGAACAAAGGGGGGGUCAAAAUCAAAAGUAACAGUCAGUAUCUGGUGUGGCCUC